UACGUAGGUGACCAGCGUUGUCCGGAUUUACUGGGCGUAAAGAGCGCGCAGGCGGUCGUUCAAGUCGAGUGUGAAAGCCCCCGGCUCAACUGGGGAGGGUCACUCGAUACUGCUCGACUUGAAGGCAGGAGAGGGAAGCGGAAUUCCCGGUGUAGUGGUGAAAUGCGUAGAUAUCGGGAGGAACACCAGUGGCGAAGGCGGCUUCCUGGCCUGUUCUUGACGCUGAGGCGCGAAAGCUAGGGGAGCAAACGGG
rnacentral:rRNA from 1 species